UAUCAUCAAAAGUAAACUAAAAUCUAGUAUUUAAAUAACGCCCAAAUGUAUGCUUUUCAGAAAAGCAUCGGUGCCUCGUUAAGAGGCACCGACACUUAGCUAAAAUUGUAGCCUACAUUUUCGAAUUUCGUAUGUCAUUUUUGUUAAUAUCUUUUCAUCAGAAUCCUUUUUGAAAAUUGUAUGACCGCAAUUCCAACCAAG